rnacentral:pre_miRNA from 1 species
UCUUAUGGAUGAGCAAAGAAAGUGGUUUCUUGAGACAGAAUCUAUUUCUAGUGAAGAUGCUGGGAA